UAUUUAAAAAUUAUUUAGGAUCAAUUUUUUAAUCAUCAAAUAACUUUUAUCCGGGGAAUAAAUUUGAGGGUUUAACAGUUUAUGUAUAGAAAAUCUGUCAAUACUUCAAAUCUAUUCCUCAGAUAAAAGUUAUUUGACCGUUGAAAAAUCGGCAC